rnacentral:rRNA from 1 species
UACGUAGGGUGCAAGCGUUGUCCGGAUUUAUUUGGGCGUAAAGAGCUCGUAGGCGGUCUGUCGCGUCGGAUGUGAAAACCCAGGGCUCAACCUGGGCCUGCAUUCGAUACGGGCAGACUAGAGUAUGGCAGGGAGACUGGAAUUCCUGGUGUAGCAGUGAAAUGCGUAGAUAUCGUGAGGAACACCAGAGGCGAAGGCGGUUUCCUGGACAGUUUACUGACGCUCAGGCACGAAAGCAUGGAGCAAAGG